rnacentral:rRNA from 1 species
AAACCGCCUAGGGGUUAAGCCCGAUGAACCUGAAUUACCGAAAUGGGAAAUUCAAUAUUGUUUGUUGUUUUUCGUUAUGUAAAAGCAAUGAAUUGUAUGCACUUUUCCCAUAGUAGGUCAUUGCGAUCCAUUAGUAAUUUAAUAUAUUAUUAAUAUAUUAAUUGUUGAUUGAAAGCUCGUGUGUUUAGUUUUUCCUAUCUGUGAUAGUUUUAUUCAACUGUCAUAUGGAUAACAGCACAAUUGAUGUCUAAAUCAACAGCUGAUGGAGCUUCAGAAUGAUCCAAAGCACACCAUGUGUGUGUAACAUAUAUAUAUGUUGGGAUGUAUUCGAUUUGCAAUGCGAUAGAUUUGGGAUACCUUCGGGACCCGUCUUGAAACACGGACCAAGAAGUUUAACAUAAGCGCAAGUCAUUGGGUUGCAAAAAAUGUGUUGUGUUGAAACCUAAAGGCGAAAUUAAAAUAACUAGUUAUUUAUUUUUCGUGAAUAAAUAAUAGAAUGGGAUUACGAGAAAUCAUAUAUAUAUGUAUAUGGAUUUUUCCUCCAUCCCGGGGCGUUCUAUAUCAAACAUGAUUACAAGCAAUUGUGUCCUCUGUUUGAGAGCGUACCUUGAGCGUUUAUGUUGA